CCUGCGGCCGAGACGGGCGGCUGCGGAGCCGCGCUGGGUGGGGGAACGACCGCUCCUAGGGGCCUUAGGGCAAUCGGAGGGCGGCAGACGUGGGGCUGAGACCAGGCGACCUCUGGGAGACGGAUUUCGAGUGGCGGAGACCUAAAGGGCAAGGAAAUAAAGGUGGGAAAACAUGAUGCACAGAUCUGUUGACUUUCCUAACUUGAUGUAGUCAGGACCAGAGCAAAGAAUCACCUGGCUCCUAAGGCCCAUGUUCUAUCUUGAUUUGACUCUGCUUCAUAGAGCAGAGGAAACAGGCGAAGAAUCAUUUUCAGUACAAAACGGUUCGAUUCAUCAAAAAGAUGCUGUAAAUGAUGAUGAUUUUGAGCCAUACUUAAGUAGCCAGACAAAUC